rnacentral:rRNA from 1 species
AAUCGAACCCGGAGAUAGCUGGUUCUCCUCGAAAUAGCUUUAGGGCUAGCCUCGCAUUAGUUUACCGGAGGUAGAGCACUGAAUGGUCUAGGGGGCCUCACCGCCUACCGAAACCUAUCAAACUGCGAAUGCCGGAUAAAUGAUGUGCGGGAGUCAGGCCGCGAGAGAUAAGUUCCGCGGUCAAAAGGGGAACACCCCAGAUCGUCUGCUAAGGUCCCCAAGUACGCGUUAAGUGGGAAAGGAUGUUGGAUUGCACAGACAACCAGGAUGUUGGCUUAGAAGCAGCCACACAUUCAAAGAGUGCGUAAUAGCUCACUGGUCGAGUGAUCCAGCGCCGAAAAUGUAACGGGGCUAAAACGCGACACCGAAGCAGCGGGAUGCGUAAGCAUCGGUAGAGGAGCAUUGUGUGAGGAUAGAAGCCAGAGCGGGAGCACUGGUGGACUUCACAGAAGAGAGAAUGCCGGUAUGAGUAGCGAGACCCAUGCGAGAAACAUGGGCGUCGAAGGCCCAAGGUUUCCUGGGGAAGGUUCAUCCACCCAGGGUAAGUCGGGACCUAAGCCGAGGACUGAGGUCGUAGGCGAUGGACAGCAGGUAGAGAUUCCUGCACCACUUACACUUGUUUGACGAAGCAGUGACACAGAAGGAUAGGACGAGCGCGGUGAUGGUCAACCGCGUAGGCGGCACGAGGCUGGGGAGCAGUAAAGUACACUUCCCGGGAAGGCUGAGUGCUGACAGGACCGAAAAAGAGUAGGGAAGCGUCUGAGUUCACGCUGGCGAGAAAAGCUGCUAAGGAGAGUGUGAGUGCCCGUACCGGAAACCGACGCAGGUGGGCGAGGAGAGAAUCCUGAGACGGACGGGAGAACUCUUGUUAAGGAACUCGGCAAAAUGACCCCGUAACUUCGGGAGAAGGGGUGCCUCGAAAGAGGCCGCAGAGAAUAGUCACAAGCGACUGUUUAGCAAAAACACAGGUAUCUGCGAAAGCGAGAGCUGACGUAUAGGUGCUGACGCCUGCCCGGUGCUGGAAGGUUAAGGGGAAGUGUUAGGGGAAACCCGAAGCAGAGAACCGAAGCCCCAGUAAACGGCGGCCGUAACUAUAACGGUCCUAAGGUAGCGAAAUUCCUUGUCGGGUAAGUUCCGACCCGCACGAAUGGCGUAACGACUUGUGAGCUGUCUCAACAGGAGGCCCGGUGAAAUUGAAGUAUGUGUGAAGAUGCACAUUACCCGCGACUGGACGGAAAGACCCCGUAGAGCUUUACUGUAACCUGACAUUGGAUCUUGAUAACGGAUGCACAGGAUAGGUGGGACGCUGGGAGGUAUGGACUUUGGUCUGUACGGAGCGGACGUUGGGAUACCACUCUUCUGUUAUUGAGAUUCUAACCUCAAGCCGUAAGCCGGAUGAGAGACAGUGUCAGGCGGACAGUUUGACUGGGGCGGUCGCCUCCGAAAGAGUAACGGAGGCGCCCAAAGGUACCCUCAGAAUGGAUGGAAACCAUUCGAAGAGAGCAAAGUCAGAAGGGUGCUUGACUGCGAGACCAACAAGUCGAGCAGGUACGAAAGUAGGGCUUAGUGAUCCGGCGGUAAGAGAGUGGAAUUGCCGUCGCUCAACGGAUAAAAGCUACCUCGGGGAUAACAGGCUGAUCUCCCCCAAGAGUCCACAUCGACGGGGAGGUUUGGCACCUCGAUGUCGGCUCAUCGCAUCCUGGGGCUGUAUUCGGUCCCAAGGGUUUGGCUGUUCGCCAAUUAAAGCGGCACGCGAGCUGGGUUCAGAACGUCGUGAGACAGUUCGGUCCCUAUCCAUCGUGGGCGAAGGACACAUGAGAGGAGCUGCUCCUAGUACGAGAGGACCGGAGUGGACGCAUCACUGGUGCAACUGUUGUCGUGCCAACGGCACAGCAGGGAAGCGAAAUGCGGAUGGGAUAAACGCUGAAGGCAUCUAAGCGUGAAGCCCACCUCAAGAAUAAGUGU